GGUGCUGAGCGCAGGCUGGGCGCGGCCACAUCACCCUAAGGGCGUGGGUGUUGGAGUCUUGCAGGCUGGGGUCCCAGGUGAGAGAUGCCAGCAGGGAGCUCUAGAUGGGGAACUGGGUGAGCCUGGCUCGGUAAGGGCGUGCUCAGAACACCCCAUCCCCGAACACGGUCUUGUCUGAUAAAAUGUCACGCAAGAAGAAUCUGAAACCGCGAGAAGAGGAGGACACGGCCAGACUGCACCAAGCCCCGGCACCUCUGUGGGGAAAAGCAGGUCAGGCUGAGCGGGGCCGGCGGGGACACGCGCUCCUGGGCUUCUCCAGAGUCUGCCGGGGCCAGACCCGGGACUGAGGCUGGGACGCACUGUGCAGUCCCACCCCUCACACCCCUGGAAACACCCUCAGGAGUAACACAAGCCGGGGUUGAGUUUCUUGAAGAGAAGCUGGCUGCUUCCUGGAGCCAGGGAAAGAGGAGCACAGGGGCCAAGCGGUCCAGGGCCACGGAGGAGCAGGACCCCUGGGGAAAGGCCCGGGUCUAGGCCGGGGCCAGGGGAACGUGGUGGAGACCUCAAAAAUGGCAGAACACGGAAGCAGGGCGAGAAAAGCGAACGUAGUCCUUGCGGCAGUUUGAAAUACACAGGGGUAAACGCUGUGACUCCGCCCGGAUGCAGAGUGGGGGUCCGUGUCUCUCCCCACAGGCUGCAGGGACCGGGCUCUGGGUAACCAGCAGAAGGUAACAGAACGAGGCUGCUUUUCCUCCAGGCUGUUCUGGUGUCCAUGCGUGGCUUGUUCGCUGACUCCUGACUUGGAGCGCCGCGUGGCCAGAGAAAUGUGGGUGCCUCCAGGCCACCAUGGUGAGAGGAGAGGCCACCGCACGAACGGAAGAAGCGAUGGAGACGGUCUUUACGACCUUAGAACAGAAAGAGUUUCUUAUACACAAUCUGAAAAGUAAAAAUUGAUUGAUUGAUUGAUUGAGAUGGAAUCCCACUCUGUCGUCCAGGCUAGAGUGCAAUGGCUUGAUCUCGGCUCAUUGCAACCUCCGCCUCCCGGGUUCAAGCGAUUCUCCUGCCUCAGUCUCCCGAGUAGCUGGGAUUAUAGGCGCCCGCCACCACGACUGGCUAAUUUUUAUAUUUUUAGUAGAGACGCGGUUUCACCGUGUUGACCAGGCUGGUCUUGAACCCCUGCCCUCAGGUGAUCCGCCUGCCUCGGUCUCCCAAAGUGCUGGGAUUAUAGGCGUGAGCCACCGUGCUGGGCCAAAAAUCAAUUUUAAAACGACCACAUGAAAACUAAAUCUCCUGUAUCACAGAGCAUGUUCUGAGGAACAUGAAAGCCACAGAUCCAGAAGAUAUUUGUGACACAUAUGAAAAACAAAAACUCAUAUUCAAAACAUACACAGCAUUGCUAUGAAUCAUUAAGAAAAAUGAUUUCGUCUCCUCUACAGAAGCCUGAGUGAAGGACAAGGACACAUCAUUAUAAACCAGGGAGCUUGAAGAGCUAGUUAACAAGCACAGAAAAUAUGUUCCCCCACACUGUUAAUCAAGAAAAUUAAAACUGUAAUGAGAUGCCGCAUUGUAUCCAUGGGAUUACUAAAAGUACAAAGUUCCACAAUACCCCUUGUUGACGGAGCAGGGGAACCGCAGGAGCCUGCAGGAGAUGAGAUUGUAAACGUGCAAGGACAUUUUGGAGAAGAGUUGACAAUAUCUCACUCACGUGUAUCAAGCCAAGUGCCGAAAGAAGAAUUGGUUGUCAUAAAGAAAACAGAAACCCAGACUGGAUGUAGCUUAUCCCUCCAAUGGAAAGUUACAAAGAAGUUAAAAUGAAUGGGCUGCAUCUCUGUGUAACAAUUUGGAUCAAUAUCAAAGACACAUUUGUUAAAGCAAGGUGUACAAUGAAACGUGCAACAUGAUUUGUCUGUUUAGUAAAACACAGAAAAUCUAACUCCGCCUGGCUUACGAACACACACACGUGUUAGAAUUUGGAAAAAGGAAAGGGAGGGAAGCCGGCUACACGUGAACUUCUGGAAAAAUCUCAGACUCUGAGGGUCUGGGGCACCAGGUGGAGACCAUGGCAGCCUUCAGGGAUAUGAGGAUGUGUUUGCUUCCCCUUCUGCCGUGAUUGUAAGUUUCCUGAGACCCCUCCAGCCGUGCUGAACUGAUUUCCUGAAGAUACCAUCCCAGUCAAGUGGUCUGCCUGGUACUGAGCCACCAGACCACCCAGCAUGUCCUCACCCGAGUGGACAGAUGACAGGGGGCUCUGAGCAUGCCCCAGUGCACCUUACGCACCUGUGAAGGUUGGGAGCCUGAGUGCAGCUCCUGUGGCACUGCCCAUGGCCAGGGAGAUGCCUCCUCAGUGCUCCUGACCCUCGGUGGAGGACUGGCCAGUGUGUGUGCCGGCAGUGUGUCCACACAGGUGUGCUGCACCCAAUGGGCAAGUCGGAAACAAAGGAAAAUGCUCUCUGAAGGAAAAGGCAAAGCAAUUUGGAUUUCUGCGAGAAAAUGAGACUGCAUGUGGCACUGUAAAUACCCUUGCUGUUGAACUUCUCGCUCCCCCCAAAUACACCCUUCAUAUUGACAUGUCUAGAACCUUAAACUGAACCAAGUUGAAAAGUGAGAUUAAUUAGGGCUGAGUUAACAGUUAACACAUACAAUGAAAUAUUGAAUAAGGCUUACUGAGCAAACAAGAAUAUACAGAAGUGGAGGAGACAAAGAGGAUAUUAAAAAUGCAGACAGUGAUGAGGCAGAUAGCUGGGACAAAUAAUGAAAAAUAGUAAAGGAGAUAAGGCAGAUAUUGGAGGAGCAAAGAGUCUCUGAAAUAGAUAUCGGUAUUGAAAGAUGCUAAACACGCUUCUAAAGAGACUUUCUAGCCGACACAGGGUGCUCACUGAUGGAUGAAGUAGAAACAUUGUUAAAUGGAAUCAAACAGGGCAAAGCGGGAGAAGAAAAAGAAGUAGGUAAACCAGUAAAUUAACUUUUCUCGUGUGUGCUGUGUACUAUUUGUGAGUGAGCAAUGAACGCUGUGGCUCCCUGGAGGGGCCGUGGUGGGAAGUUUCGCUGCAAUCAAGUAGAGGUGGUGCCUUUGGACCUCUUCUCCUGAACCUGCAGGGAGAGGCGCAGAAUAUUCACCAGGUGAAGAUGCAACAAUUCAAAUGAGUGUCCAGGUUUUCAGGGUGGUUGCUAAACCCCAAAAGACCGAUAGCUUCGGGCAAAAGACUGCAGAAAGAACAGCUUUACAUUUUUAUGGAAGCAAUGGGAAAUGUACCCUGUAAGCCUUGAAAAAUUCCCGAAGGGAUUCCUGUUCAUUCCUGUGGAUCCUAAUGGGCCAGCAUAGACCUGUUAGUCAGAAGAGGAUUUAUCUACAUUGCACACCCAUUCAGGCAGGCAGGGAAGUCAACGCCACUUUCAGAUGUUUGUAGAGCAUGAACCCUGUCCGUUCCCACGCCCUCCAAAGGCUGUUACACAGGGAUGCCCGCUUCUGGACAGAAGUGAUUCAUGCAGGAUGAGAACCAUGACCACAGAAGAUUUUGUGCAUGUGGUUAUUUCAAUAUUUAAUUUAAGUGUAUGCAUGAGUGUUCAGGAUAAAAAUGCUUGGAGUGUACUUUAAUUCCAUUAAAAAUGUAUACAUUA